GGUAGUGUGGCUGAGUGGUCUAAGGCACUGGAUUGCGGCUACAGUCUCUUCAGUGUUGUGGGUUUGAAUCCUACUGCUGCCA
rnacentral:tRNA from 1 species